AUGCAGCUGCAGCUGGCCACGCUGGUGGUACUACGACUAGAUAUAGCGCAAGAACGCCGGCCGCUCACGCAGGGUGAGUUUCACCUUCGAAAGCUUCUGAAGCUGCGAAUUCUUGGGCUGGCAGCGGUGGAAAGGGCCCGGAAACGCCAGGCAUCUAGGAUAACAUGGCUGCGGGCAGGGGACGCCCAAACAGCCUUUUUCCAGGCCAAGAUCAAUGCCAGGCACAGGAAAAAUUUCAUUCACUCGCUGCACGGAUCGACUGGGGUUGCCACCACCCAUGAUGAGAAAGAGGAAAUCGUCCAUAGUCAUUUCGCUAGAUCAUUAGGGACUAGACAGGGCCGAGCAAGCACUAUUGACUGGAGCUACAUCGACAUGCCAAGGGUCCAAGGUGGCGGCCUAGACAAUCCGUUCACUGAGCAGGAAGUG
rnacentral:rRNA from 1 species